GCCGGCAGCUAGCUCUCUGCAACUUUAACAUGGUCGCCCACUGAAGCUAAGCAGGGCUGCGCCUGGUCAGUACCUGGAUAGGAGACCACAUAGGAAAGCUAGGUUGCUGCCGGAA
rnacentral:rRNA from 1 species